rnacentral:rRNA from 1 species
GACGAACGCUGGCGGCGUGCUUAACACAUGCAAGUCGAACGGAAAGGCCCUGCUUUUGUGGGGUGCUCGAGUGGCGAACGGGUGAGUAACACGUGAGUAACCUGCCCUUGACUUUGGGGUAACUUCAGGAAACUGGGGCUAAUACCGGAUAGGAGCUCCUGCUGCAUGGUGGGGGUUGGAAAGUUUCGGCGGUUGGGGAUGGACUCGCGGCUUAUCAGCUUGUUGGUGGGGUAGUGGCUUACCAAGGCUUUGACGGGUAGCCGGCCUGGGAGGGUGACCGGCCACAUUGGGACUGAGAGACGGCCCAGACUCCUACGGGAGGCAGCAGUGGGGAAUAUUGCACAAUGGGCGGAAGCCUGAUGCAGCAACGCCGCGUGCGGGAUGACGGCCUUCGGGUUGUAAACCGCUUUCGCCUGUGACGAAGCGUGAGUGACGGUAAUGGGUAAAGAAGCACCGGCUAACUACGUG